CUGGACAUCCUGCAGCCACAGCUCACCAAGGACUCGUGGCAGCGCUGUGAAGCCGUGAAGCUGGUGUUUGCCUGGAGUCUUCUGCAGGUGACCCGCCCAGGACUCUCACCUCACCUGUCCCGCCUCCUUCCCCCCUCCCUCCUCUUCAGUGACCACCACAGACUGGAGAACUGCAUGCUGGGAGUUCGCUGUCUGCACCAUAUCGUGCUCAACACG